AUUGAACGCUGGCAGCAGGCUUAACACAUGCAAGUCGAGCGGAGAUGAGGUGCUUGCACCUUAUCUUAGCGGCGGACGGGUGAGUAAUGCUUAGGAAUCUGCCUAUUAGUGGGGGACAACAUUCCGAAAGGAAUGCUAAUACCGCAUACGCCCUACGGGGGAAAGCAGGGGAUCUUCGGACCUCGCGCUAAUAGAUGAGCCUAAGUCGGAUUAGCUAGUUGGUGGGGUAAAGGCCUACCAAGGCGACGAUCUGUAGCGGGUCUGAGAGGAUGAUCCGCCACACUGGGACUGAGACACGGCCCAGACUCCUACGGGAGGCAGCAGUGGGGAAUAUUGGACAAUGGGCGGAAGCCUGGUCCAGCCAUGCCGCGUGUGUGAAGAAGGCCUUUUGGUUGUAAAGCACUUUAAGCGAGGAGGAGGCUACCUGGAUUAAUACUCUAGGAUAGUGGACGUUACUCGCAGAAUAAGCACCGGCUAACUCUGUGCCAGCCGCCGCCGUAACAC
rnacentral:rRNA from 1 species